rnacentral:rRNA from 1 species
GUGAGGAAUAUUGGUCAAUGGACGGAAGUCUGAACCAGCCAUGCCGCGUGAAGGAUGAAGGCGUUCUGCGUUGUAAACUUCUUUUAUUUAGGAAGAAACCACCGAUUUCUAUUGGUGUUGACGGUAUUAAAUGAAUAAGCACCGGCUAACUCCGUGCCAGCAGCCGCGGUAAUACGGAGGGUGCGAGCGUUAUCCGGAUUUACUGGGUUUAAAGGGUGCGCAGGCGGUCUUAUAAGUCCGGGGUGAAAUACUACAGCUCAACUGUAGAACUGCCUUGGAUACUGUAGGACUUGAAUCGAGUAUAGGUCAGCGGAAUACAACAUGUAGCGGUGAAAUGCAUAGAUAUGUUGUGGAACACCGAUUGCGAAGGCAGCUGACUGGGCUUGAAUUGACGCUCAGGCACGAAAGCGUGGGUAGCGAACAGGAUUAGAAACCCUGGUAGUCC